CGUAAUACCAACUGAUACCACAUACCCAAUUCGCUGCAGCGGCUAAACCCCGAAGCAGCAACCAGUUUGCUUGACGACCAUAGAGCGUUGGAACCACCUGAUCCCAUCCCGAACUCAGUAGUGAAACGACGCAUCGCCGAUGGUAGUGUGGAGCUUCUCCAUGUGAGAGUAGGUCAUCGUCAAGC
rnacentral:rRNA from 1 species